UACGCAGGGGGCUAGCGUUGCUCGGAAUGACUGGGCGUAAAGGGCGCGUAGGCGGAUGGCACAGUCAGAUGUGAAAUUCCCGGGCUUAACCUGGGGGCUGCAUUUGAUACGUGUUGUCUUGAGUUCGGAAGAGGGUCGUGGAAUUCCCAGUGUAGAGGUGAAAUUCGUAGAUAUUGGGAAGAACACCGGUGGCGAAGGCGGCGACCUGGUCCGACACUGACGCUGAGGCGCGAAAGCGUGGGGAGCAAACAGG
rnacentral:rRNA from 1 species